rnacentral:rRNA from 1 species
GACGGAGGAUGCAAGUGUUAUCCGGAAUCACUGGGCGUAAAGCGUCUGUAGGUGGUUUAAUAAGUCAACUGUUAAAUCUUGAGGCUCAACCUCAAAAUCGCAGUCGAAACUAUUAGGCUAGAGUAUAGUAGGGGUAAAGGGAAUUUCCAGUGGAGCGGUGAAAUGCGUAGAGAUUGGAAAGAACACCGAUGGCGAAGGCACUUUACUGGGCUAUUACUAUCACUCAGAGACGAAAGCUAGGGUAGCAAAUGGG